GGGGAUUUAGCUCAGCAGCACAGUGCCUGCCUGACAAGCACGAGGUCCUAAUUUCAAUCCCCA
rnacentral:tRNA from 1 species